AGAUUGAACGCUGGCGGCAGGCCUAACACAUGCAAGUCGAGCGGCAGCACGGGAAGCUUGCUUCCUGGUGGCGAGCGGCGGACGGGUGAGUAAUGCAUAGGAAUCUGCCCGGUAGUGGGGGAUAACCUGGGGAAACCCAGGCUAAUACCGCAUACGUCCUACGGGAGAAAGCAGGGGACCUUCGGGCCUUGCGCUAUCGGAUGAGCCUAUGUCGGAUUAGCUGGUUGGUGAGGUAACGGCUCACCAAGGCGACGAUCCGUAGCUGGUCUGAGAGGAUGAUCAGCCACACUGGGACUGAGACACGGCCCAGACUCCUACGGGAGCAGCAGUGGGGAAUAGUUGGAC
rnacentral:rRNA from 1 species